UGUGCUCAGUGCAUGACCUAAUGCAUAAGCAUCUUGGUUUCUGUGGAAAAUGGAAGCUUAGUGAAAUUGCAGACUAUUGGCAAGAUAUGAAGAGUUGAAGAUCCCUUCCUCGUAAUCUUUCUAGAAACCAGCAGUCCUGAAUUCCAGUCCUGGGGACCUACACCAUUUCAGGGUUUCCUAAUUCUAAACACACCUGAUUCAGCUCACCAGCUAAAGAUUACAGUUUUCAAAUUUUUGGUUGAGUUUUGGGAGAAGGAAACCCCACAUUUGGGCAGGGUAGUGUGCCCCUUGAUAAGCUCUGCCAUAAACAGGUGGCUUUCAAUGCAGGAGUUAUAAACAGCUUUCAAGAGCAAACAUCAAUUAUUGAAAAACAACAACAACAACAAAAAAAAAAUCAUGUUGCUUGAGGGGAGCAAAUGGAGUGGAGUGAAGAGUGUCAUGAAGGAUUGCUUUUGUUUUCAGCGCAUGACCACUGUUCCUCUUACAGACAUGCCAAGAGCUGAAUCUUAAUUAAAGAGGAUGAAAGAUUGAGCCAGACUUUCUCUUCUCAGCUGGAAUUAGCAAACUGCUUUGUGUGCAUGAGUCUUUGCUUAUUUACCUCAGUCCUAUGAGGAACUUCUUGUCAAGAAACAAAUGCGGUAUGUUUGUGUGGAUUAAACUGCAGUAUAUGCGUUGUAUGGACUGCAAGUCAACCUAGUGGUUAGCGUGUUCGCUUCUCAAUCAGGAGACCAGGAGUUCUACUCACGGUCGGAUCAUACCAAAGACCAUCAUAAAAUGGUACCUACUGUCGUCUGGCAAGGCACGCUGCAAUACAGAUGUGAGUGGGGAGUCAAACUCUCACGAUUACCAAAGGACCAGCCCCCCACUGUAACCCUAGCUAUAUAGGUGAGAGGCCAAGAGCUAUGGAAACAGAGAUCGGCGUCGCCCUAUGCGCCUCAAGGGCCUGGUUAGUACUGGGAUGGGAGACUGUCUAGGAAGACCAGGUUCUGGCAUGGGAAGGACUUAUGAUGAUAUAUGUUGUAUCGUUCAUGUUUUUAGUGUCAUGAUCAGCCUUGGUCUGGUACUAACUGAAUAUUUAACAAGUGCUGAUUGUAUUGAAUGCCUGCACAUAUCCACAUUUUAUACUGAAUUGCACUAAUUUAAAAUGAACUCAAAGUGCAGAAUGGUGUACUGGUAUCUGAAAUACUUUAGCAGUAUUUGUAAUACUCAAAGUCAUACUAGAAGACCUGCUAGGCGACAGUUUUAAAUGUCUACGUGCUACACCUAAGCUCUGGAUUAGUACUUGCUGCACAGGCACAGGCUCAUGUAUCAGUAUUUACUUAGGCCCUUCGCCCCUUAUAGAGCAUAGGCCAUCGAUGAAUCUCCACCCUCUGACUCUGUUCUGGGCAGUCUUCCUCACGUCCAACCAGCUGGAUAUCAGUAUUUAGGAUUUGGAUUUAAACCAGAUGCUGAGAAAGCACCACGGCCAAAUUGCCAUACUGUCCCAGGAUCCAUUUUGUGCUGUCUUUUCUCAAAAAGACAGCAAGACGCUACUAAAAUUAUGCAUAAUACUGGGACUUAUUUAAAAAGAUUUAUAUGUAUUAAGAACGAAGUAGUUUUUUUCUCAUUUAGAAAACAGAAAUAUCCUGGCUCAGUAAUGAAAGUUAUUAUAAGGAUCCAACAAGAGUUGCUCAGACAUGUCUGGGUACAUGGGCUUUUGAAGUAGUGGUGCACACAAUACUUUACACACUGUGUUAGAACUGCACAGGCAGGAACCAAUCUGACAAAAAUUUAGUAAAGUUUCAUAGAAAUACAGUGGCAUGCAAAAGUUUGGGCACCCUUACUGAAAAUGUAUGUUAUUAUGAAUAGUUAAGUGAGCAGAAGGCGGCACGGUGGUGUAGUGGUUAGCGCUGUCGCCUCACAGCAAGAAGGUCCUGGGUUUGAGCCCCGGGGCCGGCGAGGGCCUUUCUGUGUGGAGUUUGCAUGUUCUCCCCGUGUCCGUGUGGGUUUCCUCCGGGUGCUCCGGUUUCCCCCACAGCCCAAAGACAUGCAGGUUAGGUUAACUGGUGACUCUAAAUUGACCGUAGGUGUGAAUGUGA